rnacentral:rRNA from 1 species
GACGAACGCUGGCGGCGUGCCUAAUACAUGCAAGUAGAACGCUGAAGGAGGAGCUUGCUUCUCUGGAUGAGUUGCGAACGGGUGAGUAACGCGUAGGUAACCUGCCUGGUAGCGGGGGAUAACUAUUGGAAACGAUAGCUAAUACCGCAUAAUAGUAGAUGUUGCAUGACAUUCGCUUAAAAGGUGCAUUUGCAUCACUACCAGAUGGACCUGCGUUGUAUUAGCUAGUUGGUGGGGUAACGGCUCACCAAGGCGACGAUACAUAGCGGAGCUGGGAGGGUGAUCGGCCACACUGGGACGGAGACACGGCCCAGGCUCCUACGGGAGGCAGCAGUAGGGGAUCUUCGGCAAUGGACGGAAGUCUGACCGAGCAACGGCGCGUUAUGGAAGAAGGUUUUCGGAUCGGAAAGCUCUGUUGUAAGAGAAGAAAGAGUGUGAGAGUGGAAAGUUCACACUGUGACGGUAUCUAACCAGAAAGGGACGGCUAACUACGUG